AAAAAAAAAAAUCUCAGCUUUAAGGCCUGUAAAAGUCUCAGGUUAAAAAAAAUCAAUUCCUUUUUGUUUACAAAAGAGUUAUGUGUCUGGGUCUUCCCCUACUUCAAGCCUUCAAAUUCAGAUAAUUUCCCCUAAUCUAUAUUUGGUUUGGCUUUUUUAUUCUUUUCUUUUUUUCAGGUACUGGAGAUUGAACACAGAGGUGCUUUACCACUGAGCUACAACUCAAGCCCUUAUUAGAGUCUCACUAAAUUGCCCAGGCUGGCUUCAAACUUGUGAUCCUCCUGCUUUAGCAUUCUGAGUAGCUGGGAUGACAGAGUGCUAAAGAGCCCACUGGAAGAGGCACACCUACUACCAAUGAAUGGAUAAAGAAAAUGUGGUGCACAUAUAUAAUGGACUAUUACUCAGCCUUAAAGAACAAUGAAAUUAUGACAUUUGCAGGCAGACCCAGAAAGUGGGGCCCAUGGGCCUAGCAUAACAAGAGCUUGGACCCUGGCCGUAGGUCUGCAAUCAUAGCCAACGCAGACAUGGGCCCCAGGCCUGGCUCUGCAAGC